rnacentral:lncRNA from 1 species
CUUUAUUUUCCUUUAUGUUUUUGGUAUUUCUUUUGAUAAUUGACUCUUACACCCAAAACUCAACUACUUUGAGUUGAUUCAGGUGUUGAUAAACACCCUCUUCAGGGGGGAUUUUAUUGAAUUUUUAUUUUAAAAAUCCAAAAUUUAAAAUUUUGUUUGAGAAGAAUUUCAGGAAAAGACGUUUGCUACUCCUUGAAUCCAGAGAAUGAAACUCUUUGAAAAAAAGAUGCUUGUAGAAACCGACAGUGCAUCAAGAAGUUAAAGAAUGAACUCAUGGUUGCAAUUGAUUGAACCAAAAGGGAUUGAACAUUUAUUGUAUAUGUACACUUUUAUGGCAAAGGGAAUGUUCCCCUAAUUUGGCUUUUUGUUAAUGAGCCUAGCAAAACAUUGGUUUUGCUUUCUCUCUUUGGUAUAUCUCUUUAACUAUUGUAAUUUCCUCUAAGAAAUUGAAAUAUUGUAUACAUCUCUAGUUAGAAGGUUUUAGGACUACAAGAUGAUUCUGUUAAAUGAUUGAUGGGGAGACUAGUCUCCCAAUGAUCAUUAGGGGGGAUUGUGAAGAUUAAAUUGUAAUCCCCUGAUUGUAACAAUGAAGAUACUUAGCUCUUCCUUUAUUGGGAAGAUUGAAUUAUAAUCCCCAGUCUAUUUAUAUAUUUUAAUCCCCCAAAGUUUUAACUCAGUAUUUGAAGUAGAUCUACCCAUUUUAGUCUACAAAAAAGUAACUAAACACCAAAGGUUCAAACUAACUACUAAAGGUGCUACCUAACUACAAAAGGUGUUAUAUAACCAAAAAAGGUAAAAUCUAACUGAAAAAGGUGUGAACUAAAUAGUGGGUAGUCCUGGAGAGAGUGUCUGUUGUGAUUGCUAGACGUAAAAUUUGUGGGAGGUGACACAAGAGAAAAAGAUCUUUAAAUAGAGGAUCACAGAGGUCAUAUGGAUAUAGACAGAUCUUCUAACUUGGAGUGGGAUUGGAGAGAAGAAGAAAGAAGAAGAAGAAGGAAAGGAAGAAAGAAAGAAAAAGAAAAAAGAAAAAGAAAAGAAAAAGAAAAAAAACAGCAGAGCACCCCCACCUGGGGUUUGAGAACCCUCCUUGCCCAUUCACUCUUAAAUGCCAUGGCGAUACUCCUCCGGCUCUUCUCCAUUGUCUAG